CACGUAGGGCGCAAGCGUUGUCCGGAAUUAUUGGGCGUAAAGAGCUCGUAGGCGGUUUGUCACGUCGGGUGUGAAAGCCCGGGGGCUUAACCCCCGGGUCUGCAUUCGAUACGGGCAGACUAGAGUGUGGUAGGGGAGAUCGGAAUUCCUGGUGUAGCGGUGAAAUGCGCAGAUAUCAGGAGGAACACCGGUGGCGAAGGCGGAUCUCUGGGCCAUUACUGACGCUGAGGAGCGAAAGCGUGGGGAGCGAACAGG
rnacentral:rRNA from 1 species